rnacentral:tRNA from 1 species
GGGGCUGUGGCUCAGUGUUAGAGCACUCGCCUAGCAUGCGUGGCACUGGGUUCAAUCCUCAGCACUA